UGUCAACGCGUGCCAGGGGCUACCAUGCAGUCGAGCGGAAACAAAUAGUACUUGCUACUCUGGCGUCGAGCGGCGGACGGGUGAGUAAUGCUUGGGAACAUGCCUUGAGGUGGGGGACAACAGUUGGAAACGACUGCUAAUACCGCAUAAUGUCUACGGACCAAGGGGGGCUUCGGCUCUCGCCUUUAUAUUGGCCCAAGUGGGAUUAGCUAGUUGGUGAGGUAAUGGCUCCCCAAGGCGACGAUCCCUAUCUGGUUUGAGAGGAUGAUCACCCACACUGGGACUGAGACACGGCCCACACUCCUACGGGAGGCAGCAGUGGGGAAUAUUGCACAAUGGGCGCAAGCCUGAUGCACCCAUGCCGCGUGUGUGAAGAAGGCCUUCGGGUUGUAAAGCACUUUCAGUCAGGAGGAAAGGUUAAUAGUUAAUACCUGCUAUCUGUGACGUUACUGACAGAAGAAGCACCGGCUAACUCCGUGCCAGCACCCGCGGUAAUACGGAGGGUGCGAGCGUUAAUCGGAAUUACUGGGCGUAAAGCGUACGCAGGCGGUUUGUUAAGCGAGAUGUGAAAGCCCCGGGCUCAACCUGGGAACUGCAUUUCGAACUGGCAAACUAGAGUGUGAUAGAGGGUGGUAGAAUUUCAGGUGUAGCGGUGAAAUGCGUAGAGAUCUGAAAGAAUACCGAUGGCGAAGGCAGCCACCUGGGUCAACACUGACGCUCAUGUACGAAAGCGUGGGGAGCAAACAGGAUUAUAUACCCUGGUACUCA
rnacentral:rRNA from 1 species